rnacentral:rRNA from 1 species
UACGUAGGUGACAAGCGUUAUCCGGAUUUACUGGGCGUAAAGCGCACGCAGGCGGCUGAUUAAGUCUGACGUGAAAUCUCCUGGCUUAACUGGGAGGGGUCGUUGGAAACUGGUUGGCUUGAGGUGGCGAGAGGGGUGUGGAAUUCCCGGUGUAGUGGUGGAAUGCGUAGAUAUCGGGAGGAACACAAGUGGCGAAAGCGGCACCCUGGCACUGACCUGCCGCUCAUGUGCGAAAGCGUGGGGAGCAAACGGGAUUAGAUACCCCGGUAGUCCACGCCGUAAACGAUGAGUACUAGGUGUGGGUGGAGUCAAAUCUAUCCGUGCCGAAGCAAACGCGCUAAGUACUCCGCCUGGGGAGUACGGCCGCAAGGCUA